AUGCACGCUAGCUACAGGCUUAACACCUGCAAGUCGCGGGGAAACGACAUCGAAAGCUUGCUUUUGAUGGGCGUCGACCGGCGCACGGGUGAGUAACGCGUAUCCAACCUGCCCAUCACUUGGGAAUAACCUUGCGAAAGUAAGACUAAUACCCAAUGAUAUCCCACGAAGGCAUCGGAAUGGGAUUAAAGAUUUAUCGGUGAUGGAUGGGGAUGCGUCUGAUUAGCUUGUUGGCGGGGUAACGGCCCACCAAGGCAACGAUCAGUAGGGGUUCUGAGAGGAAGGUCCCCCACAUUGGAACUGAGACACGGUCCAAACUCCUACGGGAGGCAGCAGUGAGGAAUAUUGGUCAAUGGGCGAGAGCCUGAACCAGCCAAGUAGCGUGCAGGAAGACGGCCCUAUGGGUUGUAAACUGCUUUUAUAAGGGAAUAAAGUGGGUCACGUGUGACUUUUUGCAUGUACCUUAUGAAUAAGGACCGGCUAAUUCCGUG
rnacentral:rRNA from 1 species